rnacentral:piRNA from 1 species
UGGCCUUGGAGGUAUGGCUCUUGUGUCA